rnacentral:lncRNA from 1 species
AUGGUGGAGGGGUUGCGCGUGGGGAUGGUAUGGUAUGGUAUGCUUAGAAUCAAUUGAUGAUUCAUGGAAAGAGAAGGAAGAUGUUUUCCCCCUGCAUUCUGCAUAUUCUGCAAACGUCAGAAAGGCAUGUCGCUGUUCGGAGAAGGCAAGGGGAAAAAUGGAAGAGGUCCCCACUGAGAGUCACAUCAGCACAAGAAAACGAGGGGAAAAGAAAAAAAGGCCAUCAAAAGACGUGCAAUUGACCUACAGUGACUGUAACAUUAUUAUUAAUUCAUUCUAACCAGUAA